GCAUUUAGUUCAGCAGCACAUAUACUAAAACUGGAAUGAUAAAGAGAUUAGCAUGCCCCCUCCACAAGGAUGACAUGCAAAUUCAUGAAGUAUUCCAUAUUUUU
rnacentral:snRNA from 1 species